GUCCCCUUCGUCUAGAGGCCUAGGACACCGCCCUUUCACGGCGGCAACGGGGGUUCGAAUCCCCCAGGGGACGCCA
rnacentral:tRNA from 1 species